rnacentral:rRNA from 1 species
UGGGGAAUUUUGCACAAUGGGGGAAACCCUGAUGCAGCGACGCCGCGUGAUUUAGAAGGCCUUCGGGUUGUAAAAAUCUUUUUUACGGGAUGAAAAUGACAGUACCGUAAGAAUAAGGUCCGGCUAAAUACGUGCCAGCAGCCGCGGUAAUACGUAUGGACCGAGCGUUGUCCGGAAUCAUUGGGCGUAAAGGGUACGUAGGCGGCCUAGUAAGUUAGAAGUGAAAUAAUAUAGCUCAACUAUAUAAAGCUUUUAAAACUGCUAGGCUUGAGAGAUGGAAGGGAAAGUGGAAUUCCUGGUGUAGCGGUGAAAUGCGCAGAUAUUAGGAAGAAUACCGGUGGCGAAGGCGACUUUCUGGUCAUCAUCUGACGCUGAGGUACGAAAGCGUGGGUAGCAAACAGG